AUCUAAAGACAUCUUGGCUAUGCUGUUGAACCCACCACUGAUUGCUGCAUUUGCGAUUGGUGCAGCCUUCUCAGCCACCAUCUGUUGUAUCUUCCUGUGUUUGACAGGGAAAUGUAAAAGACGCAAAGAGAGGAUCCCAAAGGACUCAGACUCCAAAAGCCCUUUAACGAACCUGGAGAUGGUGGCAUGUGAAGACCAACAGAUGGAUGCAGGACGGGCUGUGCGGGGCGAACAGACCCCUCUACAGGUGGUGCUGAUGGAGGGAGCUGAAAACACAGGACCCCAGACCAGUGGAGCUGCAGGAAACUCUGCCAAAGGGGAAGAACCAAAAGAUGUGCACUACGCCGCUAUCAACUACUCCCAACUGAAGAAGACUUCUGAGGAGGCAGAAAAAAGACCACCACAACAGAGUCAGAGUACGCCAAAAUCAAACGAGAGAAUAAGAAAGAAGGGAUGAAGAUGGAGGAGAGGGGAGUGGAGUGAUGGACGAGGAGGAGAACGAGCCAGCAGCAGAGACAGAUGAAAAUACAGCGCUUUACUCCAAUUUCAAGGCUAUUAUGGGUGGUGAGUGACAAAGCAAUUUUCGCUAGAAACGUGGGGGAUAGCAUGCAGCAUUAUAUAGCCAUGUGUUCUUAUAUCAUUUCCUGAAUCCAGAUUGAAAGUUUUAUGUUGAUACUGGGACUUUUGUUCAACUGAAACUACUGUAGUUUUGGUGUUGUUUCCUCAUGUGCUGAAUCAAGUUGGAAUGUUUUAUGAUAAUACAGAGACAUUGUAUAAUAACUGAAACUACUGUAGUUAAUAGUUUUGGUAAAUGAUUUAUUUUACAGCCCUGUGUCAGAUGGUACUGUAUGUAUCUGGUGGUUUUACAUUUUCAAUAAGAAUAUUUUCUAGUUGUACAUAGAAGCAAGUUUUGGUAAUGUUUUUGUAAAGUUUUUCAAGGAAGUGUCAUUUUACUUUUGUAAUGAUUGUGUUUUGUCACCAGGUGGAAGGACUGACAAAGAUGUGGUUUGGAAAAGUAGAGGGGUCAAACCAUUUCUUUUUUUCCUCCUCUUUCCUUUCAUUUUAGCAUUUUGAUUUGACAAGUGGGUGGGGAUAUUAGGUAGUAUGUGUGGAUGUAAUCAAUAUAUUUCUGUAAAUACUGUUCUUAUACACUGGCGAAAAUGUUGGCAAAAUGUUAUUAAGAAUUCUCAUUUUGGGCUAGCCAGAGAGCUCAAAUGAAAUGAAUCAAGAAAAAAAGUACAUCAUGCUUUUAAAGGUUGUGUGCUAUAGACAGGUUGGUUGAUUAGCAACAAAACAGAUGCGUGCACAACUAUGGGGUAAAACAGACGGGUUGGCUUAGAUUGUUGACAACAUGUAAACUAUAUUUAGUCUCCAGUGUUUGAAAAUAUAAAUACAUUUGUACAAUGAGCACGGUGUUUCUGAAAUACAUUGGUUAGCUAUGUAGCAUUUUUUUGUGC
rnacentral:lncRNA from 1 species